GGGCCCGUAGCUCAGCAAGGAUAGUGCAGCAAUCGUCCAAAGCACCGGGCUUUUAACCCGGUGGUCUCGGGUUCAAUUCCCGACGGGCCCG
rnacentral:tRNA from 1 species